rnacentral:tRNA from 1 species
GCCAGGGUGGCGUAAUGGUUUGAGUGCUGGAUUGUGACUCUGGAGACCAGGAUUCAAUUCCCAGCUUGGCC